CCUACGGGUGGCAGCAGUGAGGAAUAUUGGUCAAUGGGCGAGAGCCUGAACCAGCCAAGUCGCGUGAAGGAUGACGGCCCUACGGGUUGUAAACUUCUUUUGUCAGGGAGCAAUUGAGUCCACGUGUGGGCUUAGCGAGUGUACCUGAAGAAAAAGCAUCGGCUAACUCCGUGCCAGCAGCCGCGGUAAUACGGGGGAUGCGGGCGUAUUCGGGUUUUAUUGGGUUAAAGGGGUGCGCGGGCGGACUGUGAAGUCAGCGGUCAAAGCCCGGGGCUCAACCCCGCCCCGCCGUUGAAACUGGCAGUCUCGAGUUGGAGAGAAGUAUGCGGAAUGCGCGGUGUAGCGGUGAAAUGCAUAGAUAUCGCGCAGAACUCCGAUUGCGAAGGCAGCAUGCCGGCUCCACACUGACGCUGAGGCACGAAAGCGUGGGUAUCGAACAGGAUUAGAUACCCCAGUAGUC
rnacentral:rRNA from 1 species